GUUUCAGCAGCCGCGGUAAAACGUAGGGGGCGAGCGUUAUCCGGAAUCACUGGGCGUAAAGGGCAUCUAGGCGGUGUAUUAAGUCCUGCGUGAAAGCUCCCGGCUCAACUGGGAGAGCGCGUGGGAGACUGGUGCGCUAGAGACUCGGAGAGGGGUGUGGAAUUCCCGGUGGAGUGGUGAAAUGCGUUGAGAUCGGGAGGAACACCAGUGGCGAAGGCGGCACCCUGGCCGAGUUCUGACGCUGAAGUGCGACAGCGUGGGGAGCAAACGGGAUUAGAAACCCCCGUAGUCC
rnacentral:rRNA from 1 species